rnacentral:ncRNA from 1 species
UAAAAAGCAAUGAAAAGAAGAGUAAGAUUAUUUAAAGCGUAUUAGAGAGUUCUGCUUGCUGAAAAUGAACCGUGAGAGUAGUCUGAAAGUAACUUUGAGCUAUAUGGUGAAUUUUUAGUAGCUAAUAUUGGUGACACCCAUUAUCGUGUUAGCGUAUCGCAGUUAUGCCGUACGUGAAGUGACCUAACGACAUUUUGUUCAUUGGUAAAAUAGGUGGUACCGUGCUAAAGCACCCUUGAU